rnacentral:rRNA from 1 species
UCGAGAAUAAUUCACAAUGGGGGCAACCCUGAUGGUGCAACGCCGCGUGGAGGAUGAAGGUCUUCGGAUUGUAAACUCCUGUCAUCCGGGAGCAAGACCUGACGGUGAACAGCCGGCAGGGUUGAUAGUACCGGAAGAGGAAGGGACGGCUAACUUCGUGCCAGCAGCCGCGGUAAUACGAAGGUCCCGAGCGUUGUUCGGAAUCACUGGGCGUAAAGGGAGCGUAGGCGGCGUGGCAAGUCAGACGUGAAAUCCCGGGGCUCAACCCCGGAACUGCGUCCGAUACUGCCGUGCUUUGAGGGUUGGAGAGGUAGCUGGAAUUCACGGUGUAGCAGUGAAAUGCGUGGAUAUCGUGAGGAACACUCGUGGCGAAAGCGAGCUACUGGACAACACCUGACGCUGAGGCUCGAAGGCCGGGGGAGCGAAAGGG